rnacentral:rRNA from 1 species
AUGUCAGAGCUCGAGGCGGAGAUGGCGGAGCUCGGGCUGGAGUACUCACGGGAUGACGGAUUCAAGGGCUGGAGCUCUCACGGACUGGAGGUGCUCAGGCUAAAGGCAGUUGAGGACGCCCUACGGGCGAGCUGGAGGGGAUGGGAAGAGGCCUGGAGUUGCUCAGCAUCGGUCAACCUGCAAGGUGGUUUGCUCGACCACUCACCGUUGGUUCUGUCAAUAUGCAAGGUGAUUUGCUCGAUACCUCGCUGUUGGUUCCGUCAAUCUGCAAGGUUCUUCGUUCGGCUGGAUUGUAGGUUGGCUCCAGUCCUUGAUCAGUUCUUCUGCAAGGAGAGUUUCAGUGCUCAGCAUAUUGCAGUAAUUGCAGCAGCGAGUUCUAUGAAGCACGUCAAUGGAGGGGACAUAGUCAAUGACAAUCGCCUACCAUUUAAUUAG